rnacentral:lncRNA from 1 species
AUAGACCCUGUGAUUCCCCGUGGAGACCUGAUGGCUGAGUUGCUUCCAGUCCCUUUUGUGCUCACACCUAGAACUUCUCUAAGAGGCAAGAUGGAGCGAAGCUGUGGGAAACUUCCAGCUCCACUUUCCUAUGUACCUGUGCCUAUGACAGGACUAACAGACAGAAUGACCUUUCAGGAAAGAUUAAAAAUCCAAUGCUUUCAGUUUUCUUCCACUUCUGGAUUCAGGAUUAUGACCAUCAUUUUUGGGAAGAGUGUUAGAGUAAGGCAUCAGGAGAUCAUCAGUCACCGGUCUGAUUGCCCACUAGAAGACUUCGUGUGAAUACUGACAAAACCACAGGGAAGAGACGUCCGCGUCGGAGACCACCCUCCUACCUGCAAACUUCCAGAAACAAAACAGACAAAACUUUGUGAUGAUAAAUAUCACAGUUGCCACACAGGCCAGCAGAAACCCAAUCACAUCCAAAGAGUGGUACUGGAACCAGGCAUAUGAGUACAUGCUCAGCAUCAUGAGCCAUUUUAAGUGCUGUAAGAAAGACUAUGAAAAUGCGAUGUGAGAAUUAUCAUCUGUAAGUUCCUAAAAAGGAAUUUUAUCAAGGCACCUAUGAUGUUGAGACAAGUUCAUCCAGAAAGCUUUACUGAUUUGCUUGUCAUAAGGCAGACAUCAUCUGCUCUAAUAGUUUUAGUUAAAGAUGUAGGAUAAACUUCAAAUUUAAGAGUGGAUGCAUCAUUGGGAUCAAAAAGAAUGGAAGCUGAAGAUGCCAGUACAGUCACCUCAUGACCUCUCUGAACAAGCUCUUUCAGGAUUGUCUUCAUAUUCAUCCAAUGGCUGUAUUCUGCGGCCCACACCAGCACUUUUCCACAACUCCCAGAGCUAAAGUAACAACUGAGAUGUAUCAGCAGAAGAACUGAAGUCCAUUUCAGAGUCAUCCUGGUGCAAUGCGAUCAUUCUUUUCCAGUCACUGUUUCUUUCUCAUACUUAUAUACAGAGAUAAAUCAAUCAAGUUAAAAUAUAACUCCUCCAAUCCAAAGUAAAUAUAUUAUAGGAGCAUCCUGAGUACAUGGAUGGCAAGGAGACAAACAAAGUUCGAUUACUUCAUAUUUACUCAAGGAUGUUUUAUGUUUCUUUUAUGUUUAUAUUCACUGUCAUCCACCUAAGAUUAAUGACCUUGCAAGUACCCUGUUUUAUGUAACCUACUUUAUAAUAGUGUCAAGAACAGUGGCAAGUGAGAGAGUCCUGCAGAGCCCUUGACACAGAAUAAGAGAUGAAAUGAUUGUACAAUGCAAACAGCAUUUUUGAAUAUCGUGGUUCAAUGAAUAUCUUGUAAAUCUUUGUUGGAGUAUAAUUCAAAUACCAUAUGAUUCAUCAAUUAGUAUUUAAAAUUAAGUAUUUCCUAGUAAAUUCACAGACUUGUGCAUCCAACGUAACAAUCAGUUUUAUCUAAAAAAACAAAAAACUCCUGUGUAUUAGUUCUCAUCUCCCCACCAAAUUUCUGCAUCCACCCUGCACUAGGCAACCAGUAAUCUAAUUUCUGCCUCUAGAAACACACCUAUUCAGGAUCUUUUUAAAAGUAAACGGAACAAUAUAGUAUGUGGUCUUUUGUGGCUGGCUUCUUUUAUUUAGUUUAAUGUUUUUAAAGGACCAUCCGUAGAAUAGUGUAAAUAAGGACUUCAUUUUUAUUGCCAAAUUGUAUCAGAUGCUAUUUAUAAACACAAUUUAUUUAUUCAUUUAUAAGUUGAUAGAUAUUGAUUUUCUUCCACUUUUGGCCAUUAUGAAUAGCAUUGAUUAACAUUGAUGUGCAUGAAUUCUGUGGACAUGUUUUUAUUUUUCUUGGGGAUAUGCCUAGAAAGGCAAUUACUGAAUUAUGUGGUAAAUGUAAAUAUAACCUUUUGAGGAAUUGCUAGACUUUUUCAGAGUGAGUGAAUAAUUUUCUAUUCUCACCAACAAUGUAUGAGGGUUUCAAUGUCUCCACAACCUUGCCCACCCUUGUCUUUCACAUAACCAAAAAAGUUAUUUUUUAUUUUAAUUUAUAAACACACUCCAACAGACCCAAAAAAGGAAGGUUUCCUUCCACAUAUUGGAGGGAAAAGUGAAUAAAUUAAAUAAUAACUUACCUAAUACUUCACUGUAAAACUAAUCUCACUUCUUUUUGUUAAAAAUCUCAAAUGCAAAGUCAAAAUGAAGAAAAUGCAACAGAUUUUUCACCUUUCUACAAAUGUGUUUUGGUACUAAGUUCUGAUAUGACAACAGUUACAUCAGAAGGAGGUAAUGUAAGUCCUCCACAGAGUUCUUGGUACAUACUGCCAGUUGUAAAUGGAUGAUAGUAGACCAAAUGUAUAACAAAUGUUUAACAGACUAAGCUGUUCAGAUAACAGCUCACUACUGAGAACUGACAUCUGCAAGAAUGACAUAAAUUCUGGAAUCUUGUUGUUCCUCAUAAUUUUCUUGUUCAAAACAGCAUACUCAAUGAGCUUUUGAACAGUAUCAGAACAUUCAUGAUAUGUAGUUUUUGCAUCUUUGAAUCAUAUGCCAACAAUGUACUCUUUGGAAACUUAUAUGUCCACAUCUUGAUCAAUUUCAUAAAUAUGAAAUCAAGUUCCUUCUGAGUAAAAGAUGUGGGAUAAACCUCAAAUUUAACAGCAGAUUGUUGGAAUCAAUGAGGAUGGAAGCUGAAGGUGACAAGCACAGUUACCUCAUGGUGUUCUGAGCAAGUUCAUCAAGUAUCAACAUUAAAUUGAUACAAAGACUGUAUUUCAUCGGCCACACCAGCACAUUCUCGCAGGAUUCAGGGCUAAAAUACAACUGUCAGCAUAAGAAACAAAAAAGCCCAUUUCUUAGACAACUUGUUAAAAUGCUAUCUUUCUUUAUAACUUUCUCUAACUUGGUACAUAUCAAUAUCAAUCAAUGUCACAAUGAUUUAAGUAUUGACAAUAGAGGUUUUGGAAAGCAAGUGAAUAAAGAAAAGGAUGAAUGAAAAAAAAAAAAAAAAAAAAA